rnacentral:rRNA from 1 species
CUGUCUCAGACUAGCCAUGCACGUCUAGUACAAACUAAAUGAUGGUGAAACUGCAAAUGGCUCAUUACAACGGUUAUGAUGUACCCGGGAGUUCCGAUGGAUAUUUCCAGUAACACUAGAACUAAUACAUGUCCCUGCGUUUAUUAGUUUCGCACAGUCCGUCGCUGAGUCAUGGUAAACAGUUGAUCGACUCGACGUCCCGGAACAGUUUCCGCCCCAUCAGCUUCGAUGGUUGGGUAUUGGCCUACCAUUGCAACAACGGGUAACGAGGAAUUAGGGUUUGAUUUCGGAGAGGGAGCCUGAGAAACGGCUACCACAUCUACGGAUGGCAGCAGGCGCGCAAAUUACCCAAUGCAGACACUGUGAGGUAGUGACGAGAAAUAAUAAAGCGGGACUUCUGUUUCGCUAUUAUAAUGAGGAAUAACCAAAGGUCAUUCCGAUUAGCAACUGAUGGGAAAGUCUGGUGCCAGCAGCCGCGGUAAUACCAGCGUCAGUAGCAU